GCAAGUCGAGGGAGAAGUCAGGUGCUUGCACUUGAUAGGAACCGACGAACGGGUGCGUCACACGUAUGCAACCUACCUAUAACUGGGGGUUAGCCCGAAGAAAUUCGGAUUAAUACCCUAUAAUAUUUAGAUAUCGCAUGAUAUUUAUCUUAAAACUCCGGUGGUUAUAGAUGGGCAUGCGGUCUAUUAGUUAGUUGGUAGGGUAACGGCUUACCAAGACUACGAUAGAUAGCGGGUCUGAGAGGAUGAUC
rnacentral:rRNA from 1 species